GUGAAUCAUCAAAUUUUUGAACGCAAAUUGCACUUUCUGGUAUUCCGGAAAGUAUGCCUGUUUGAGGGUCAGUUUAAUAACAAUCGGUGUUGUUGCUGCUUUUCGUGGUGUCGCCUCGGCGUUGAGUUGUCUUACCUUCGGUUAAGUGACUUAAACUUUUGCAUGCUUUUCUAACUUAUUUAAAUUUCUUCCGUACGUUUGAUAUAUCUAAUCCUUUAUUUUGUUCGGUCAUCCUCAUGAUUCGCACCUAUAAUUUUUCCUUAACUGACCUCAU
rnacentral:misc_RNA from 1 species